rnacentral:tRNA from 1 species
CCUUCGAUAGCUCAUCUGGUAGAGUGGAGGACUGUAGGUCUAAAUCCUUAAGUUGCUGGUUCGAUUCCUGCUCGAAGGA